ACUGUAGAUUGAUAUUGGAUUUUGAGGUUUAAUGUAGAGGAUAUGUGGGAGACAGAGAAUCAGUGGCGCCAGUUGCUGAGGAGUCGCCGUUGGAAUACCACACUUUAAGCUUUAAGGUUCUAACCAUACACCCUGAAUCGGGUGUUGGGACACUGUCAGUUGGGCAGUUUGACUGGGGCGGUCGCCUCCUAAAAAGUAACGGAGGCGUUCAAAGGUUCGCUCAGAAUGGACGGAAACCAUUUAUAGAGUGCAAAG
rnacentral:rRNA from 1 species